CAAUUGACUCUGAGGCAAACUUACCAGAUGGGAUUGACUUUGAGCAUAAUAAGAAAAUCAGGUUCACUUGUGGGAGGAAGUCAGAGCAGAAACACUCAGUCUGCGUGAACGGAAAGUGGGAGCCCGAGGUGACCUGCACAGAAGCACCACGAUGUCCACCUCCACCUCAGAUUCCCAAUUCUCAACAUAUGACCCUUUCAGUGAAUUAUCAAGAAGGAGAAAAAAUAUCUAUUCUCUGUCAAGAAAACUUUCUCAUCCAGGAAGGAGAGGAAAUCGUGUGCCAGGAUGGACAAUGGCAGUCAAUCCCGCGCUGUGUCG